GGCCUGGCUGGACGGUCCGCCCUUCGGGUGAGUACUGUCUGUGGUCGGGUCCUACCUUCUGGCGAAGCGUCAUGGCCUUAACCGGCCGUGGCGGGGAACCAGGACUUUUACUGUGAAAAAAUUAGAGUGUUUAAAGCAGGCUCACGCUUGAAUACAUUAGCAUGGAAUAAUGAAAUAGGACGUUUGAUUCUAUUUUGUUGGUUUCUAGGAUCGACGUA
rnacentral:rRNA from 1 species